AAGAUCUGCAUGAUCACAUGUCUGCCUUCCACGGUGACACCAUAGAAGGAACACUGAUUUCAAGUUGGAGCAAUGUCCUGAAAUCACUUUAGUCAUCUGAAAAUUAAUCUGUUAAUCUCAGUCUCCAAAUUCUGCACAUUCCAUGAGUAGCUGGGGGGGAGCAUCUGCAGAAGCCAGCUGCUGAUUGGUGGGUAUUUCAUACUGAUCCCCAUACUACUAUGGUAUUUAAGAAAGCUCUCAAAACCACUCUUCCUCCCCUCACUCUCCGUUUCACUUCUUUCUUAUGCUGGGAUACACUCCUGAGCGAUCCAUUGGCUGACCAAUCGUCCCACAGAUCGAGCAACUGAUUUGAUUCAGAUUCAUGUUCGUGUGUACCGUAUGCAGCUGAGUGCUACCUCCUGGGGGAUGUUAUAUGAGCUGGAAGAGCAAAGCCUUUCAAGUGUUCAGAAAACAUUGAUAUUGGUUGGUGAGGAUGACAGUGUGAAGGAGAAGGCGACGUAGCAGAGGGGACCUAUGAGGAUCAUUUAUGGCACACAUUUGAUUUUCUAUCAGAGCACCUACAUGGUCUGCCUUGUGCACAUGAAGACGAACGCCUUCUUUCCGCUUAUGGGACGGCCAACCCCUCCACUGACUAGAAGUGCACAAUGAUGAGGGGAAGAAAUUACAGCUCAAUGUGCAAAUCUGUGAAAGUUCAUCCCUCUAUUACUUUAAAACUACCCUUAUUUUAAAACAUUAAACGUAUGACUCCAAUUAAUCAUGAAAGAAAGGGAGCACUGAGAUAUUAGUGGGUGUGUGUAAAAGUUUAUAGUAUUUUGUUCAGAGUAUAAACACCUGUACACUUCUCUGCAAAAAUGCAACAUGGAGGUAUAACUAUACUUGCAAACUCUUCUGGGACACUUUCUAGAAGUCCCCACGAACUCCUGUAAAUCAUCUCCCACCUAUUUCUUAGUGACAUGGGUUAGACUGCGGGCCAGGAAUGACAUGAUUCUCAGUAAAUAGUUUUACUGUAGCCCCACCUUCUGUGCGCUCUGCAGUAUUGUAUCAUAUGGGGUGGGAUGACAAGAACUGCAUCAUCUUAGCCCCAUCCCCAUAAUGCAAUGCUGCAAAUUGCAGCAGCGUGCAAUGACCACCUGCUUCUCCGCUCCAGAGUAACUAAGUAUGUGUACAACAUAAGUCCCAUUAUAUAGUAGGUACUGAAUAAAACCCAGUUCUUUUGAAAA